rnacentral:lncRNA from 1 species
AAUGUCCUGCUGAAAACUCAGCUGAGUUCCUGGCAGUGCGUGACGUCAAGACACUUUAAAUGCCCCUGAUACGGCUCCCUCCUGCCCGCUCUCCCUUUUCCCGGCCCUUGGCACCACGUGGGGGCGAGACUGAGAGGUUCUUACCACGUGGGAAUCAGCCAGUUAGACGGUCCCCGGGUAUCGCCAGAUCUGCCAGGCGCCCUCCUCUUGGACUGGGUUUCUGGGGCCGACAAGACGAACAUGGGCGACCCUUGCCUGCUUUGAACCCCAGCUUCUGCGUCACCUUCAUCGCUGACAACGAGGGCCCAAUCCCAGCGAUACCCGGAGGUGCACCAGGUGGGUCAGAGCCACAGCUUUGUUCCAUCCUGGUAAGCUGUGACCCCUGACCCCUCAGGAGCGUUCACUCCCCUCACUGCCCUCGCCACCGUUCUCCCCUGAAAUCUACCUCUGAGCCUGCCUGAUAAAGGGACAAAAACCCUCUGCAGCCUCCGACUGACCCCAAUCCCCACCGGCUGAACGCUGCAGCUUCUCCCUCUUGAGCCGAAGCCUGGCCGCUUCCCUACUGUCUCCUUACUCCAUCCCGAUCUCCCCUUGGCUACCAGGAGCAUCAUCCUAAAAGUUAUAUGAAUAAAUACUCAGCCCUGUCGCCA